CUUGCCUCGCAGUCGCGGCUGUUUUCACGGACGAACUUCGUCUGUGAAACGAUUUAGCUUAGCUUUGGAAGAAAUCAAUUGCUGGACUGAAAUAGUUUCAGCUUCCGUAAAUACGACAUUCUUGCUCUUUGAUAGAGUUGGGAACAGAAUCCAAGUUACCUCAAAAUGGCAGUAACACUGGCAAUCUCCUUUUAUUAAGGAAGCAGCCCCUCCAGCGCCACCUCUUCCACACGCCAACAAGAAAUUGACCUUCAACAUCCCGAUUGCACCCACACCGAUCCCUCAACAUGCUGCCAUGCCAUUCUCUAGUGGUGAAAAUUAUCCAGUCCAAGAGUCGCUAGAAAACCAACAUGAUGGCCAGGCUGCAUUUCCUUCACCACCACUGACAGUGCAACCUCAGACUGGUUCCAACCUUCUGGUGUGCCAAGGAGAAGACUUUGAACCUGAUGAGAAAUGGCAUCCAGUCCAGGAAACAGACCCGGCACCACAGACACAAAGUGGUCCUCUGGUGGAUAACCUUGGCUCUCUAAUGGAACAGCUUGGGCCUGAAACUGCUCACUGUAAUACAUAGGCCUUAAUAUACCAGGUAGUACAUUACAUAUGUUUUCAUAUUGCUUUAUAGAACAGCUGUUCGUGAUCAAAUGAUUUGAUUGGCAGGUAGUCCGGGGUUUAUUUACUAUGGGAGCCACAUCAUUUCGCUUGUAUUAGUUCAACUUGUAACAGCUGAUCAAGUGUUUGUGCCAAAACAAUAAUAGACAAACAAACUAAAUAGUUGUAUACCUAAAAAGCUGCAAGCUAGAUAGCAGUUAGGGCUGAAUGAUAUAUGAAAAAAUGGACACAGGUAUUUUUGCAAGGUGCUGAAAUAUUAAAGAAAAAUAGAAUUUAGGUAUAUUCACUAAAUAUGUGCAGCUUUUAGCUUCAGUAGCUCCAUUUGGAAAGAAUUUCUUACUUUAGUAAUGUUGAGAUUGAUAUUAGAAAGAGAAAUAUGGCAGUUGUGCAAUACUCUGGGUGGCUCAAUAUGACACCAGUGUUUUCAGUUAAUACCCACCUGUCAAUCCUGACUUGUCCAUGGUCAUCACAAUAUUUAUUAUGCAUUUUCUUUACCUUAAGAGGGAUCCUCUGUGAAUUGGUGGAAGAAAGGGUUUGGAAAGAAUUCAAGGAAGAUGACUAAAGGCAGAGGAAAAAGACAAAGAAGACAGAGGCUUUUUUUAAUGCUUUAUUUUUCAUUUUAUUGUAUUUCACGUCUAUAAACUACAUUAGGGGAAUCUGACUUUAGGUCAUUCUUAAUAUUAUUUCAUUAUUUAUUUCAAAAUACUGAAAAGAUUUUAUCGAUUGGUCCAGCUUAAUUUCCGUCAAUCUUCAUGUAUCCUGCUGUGAAAUGUAAAUGCAAGAAGUUGGUAAAUAAGAUUCAAAACACGUUUGACACUAAUUUUAAUUUUAUGUUUCCUUUAAUAUUAAUGAUUUCAUAGAGCAUAAAAGUAAGCCUAUACUGUAUCUGCUUUCUCUAUAUGAGGUCUCUCAUAUGGAGAAAGCAGAGCAAAUAUGAGCAUAAUGCAUGUUUAGAAGUUCGUUGCCAUUCUGCAAAUUUCAAGACGAAUAGAGCCAUUAAAUGUGCAAUAGACCACUCCUGACCCCACACCUUGAUUCCUCAGCCAGCUAUUAUUUCCACCCAGCGAGACACCACACCCCGAGUGUAAAACAUAGGCUUUAGUUUACUAUGCAUAGAAGUGAGACAGUCCAUGGUAUGUGACCAAGAGACUGAUUUUAAAGGUACAAUCCUAAAGAUUUACAUGUAAACAAAUAUCCUUUUAUAUCUUUCUAUUGCUCGCAUGUUUAAAACAAAACUAUCUGAAUAUCCAAAUUGGAGCUUUUGUAGUUGCUCAGUUCAGUGGUUACUGCUGAGCUGGACUUUCCCAGGGACAGUGGUAUGGCUCAUAGCUUUAUACAUCUUCACCAUAGUCUAAAUUGAGACCAAUAAGGCAGAUAGCUGCAAAUUUGAGGAAGAAAGGAAGCCACUGCUAGCCACAAUGACUUGUGGCUAGCAAGCAGAUGGUAGAUCCUGCUUUUAGAAGACCUUUAUUACCAAAUGCUAGAACGUCAGUUGUUUCUGUUAUAUUAUGAAUGUGUCUCGGGAAUUUGAAGUGGUGAAACACCAGUGCAGUUGCCACUGUCACCACGUGUGACAGUAAGUUUAACAAAAGCAACAAUCUUCAGGAUAGUAAUGUUUAGAGCAAAGAUAUCGGGCAAGAUUAAUCGAGACUCAAAUAAUGAAUGGAAAUAAUUUCUACAAGAUUUGCAAGUUGGCACAAUGUCACUUAGUUCACGUGUAUACCUCACAUGAAACUUUCAAGCAACACUCGUCUUAAGCCUUUGACUGUGAUGAACUACGUUAUUCAGUGGUUAAUGUAUUUACAUUUUCUGUUGGCCCCUGAUGAACAAUGACUCUGGUUCCAGUAGUUAUGCUCUGUUCUACUCUGUAAAAGAUAGAAACUACAUGUCAUUCAAGUAUGUUGACUGCACAGUAUUGGAAUAAAUGGGCAUAAUCAUACAA